rnacentral:tRNA from 1 species
CGUUCUAUGGCCGAAUUGGUAAAGGCAUCGCCGAUCACAGGCAAGGUUGCGGGUUCGAGUCCCGCUGGAACGA